GAUGAACGCUGACAGAAUGCUUAACACAUGCAAGUCCACUUGAAUUUGGGUUUUUAACUUAGGUUUGGGUGGCGGACGGGUGAGUAACGCGUAAAGAACUUGCCUCACAGCUAGGGACAACAUUUGGAAACGAAUGCUAAUACCUAAUAUUAUGAUAAUAGGUCAUCCUAUAAUUAUGAAAGCUAUAAGCGCUGUGAGAGAGCUUUGCGUCCCAUUAGCUAGUUGGAGAGGUAACGGCUCACCAAGGCGAUGAUGGGUAGCCGGCCUGAGAGGGUGAUCGGCCACAAGGGGACUGAGACACGGCCCUUACUCCUACGGGAGGCAGCAGUGGGGAAUAUUGGACAAUGGACCGAGAGUCUGAUCCAGCAAUUCUGUGUGCACGAUGAAGUUUUUCGGAAUGUAAAGUGCUUUCAGUUGGGAAGAAACAAAUGACGGUACCAACAGAAGAAGUGACGGCUAAAUACGUG
rnacentral:rRNA from 1 species